UUAAGGGAUUUCAACUUGAGGUACGAUGGAAACUGCUCAAAGCCCUUAAUAUUGCUAGAAAGAUAAAACUCGACGAGCUUACUAAGAGAUCCAACUGAUUCAUGAAUCUUUACUAAAUUUACACAUCCUAAAAGAUCCAACUCUUCGAGGUUUAUUGCAAUAGAUAAAUCUGGAAUUUCCACCAAAAACUUGGAGUCUCUAAAAUUAAUUUUUUUCAAGCAUCCACCACACUGCAAGUAAUAUAAAAAGAAAACAUAAUCAAAUUUCAAAUAAAUAAGAUGACAUUGAAAUUAAAUUAAUAGAACUCAAAUAUUAUUGACAAAAUAAUUAAUACCAUGAAUGCUUUCCCAAAAUGUUUGAUGGAGCUAUAUGGCAAUUUCAAUUCCAAAAGGUUAUCCAUUGUGUAGGUUGAAGGCAAAGAUGAAAAAGGAAAAUGAGGCCAAUUCAUCCACCUUAA